rnacentral:rRNA from 1 species
ACUCCUACGGGAGGCAGCAGUGGGGAAUCUUGCACAAUGGGCGGAACCCCGAUCCAGCGACGCCGCGUGGGUGAUGAAGGCCUUCGGGUUGUGAAGCCCUUUUGUCGGGGACGAUGAUGGCGGUACCCGGCGAAUAAGCACCGGCUAACUCCGUGCCAGCAGCCGCGGUAAU